ensembl:lncRNA
CGUCAGCGAUUCAAAUGCGCUUGGGAACCAAUCAGGAACAGCAUUGCUCGUGCUGUUGCCACGAGCCCCGCACACGAAUCGCCAUCAUCACUGUGUUCUCGACGCUUCGUAACUGCUGCAGUCGCAAUCACUGUGUGUGUUGCUGAGUUGAAGUUGGAGGCAACUAACAGCGAUGAUGUUACUAUACCCUUCAAAACUGCUGAACUGGAGAGAGCCGAUCAAGUGAAAAUAACUUUUAAAAGAGACGAUCAGAAAAGGUUGAUUGCGCAGUACUGCUGUGCUCACUGCUGGGUCUGUAUUCCUGUGGAAACACCGGGAGUCUUACUGCGAAUUGAAGAAGGAACUGCGUCCUUGAUUCUUCAAGAUGUCAGCUCCAGAAGCUCAGGCCUUUAUAAAGCACAAGUCUUCAAUGGAAAGCAUGUGUCUGAGAUACAAGCUACACUUGUUGUCAAAGAACCAGCAUUGUCCUCCACCAAAGAGCCACCACAGACCUCCACCCCAAAACCUCCCGACACCUCUGGACACCUGUGGCUGUGUGCUUUACUGAUUCUUCCAGUCAUCCUGGGUGUGGUUGUUUAUUGUUUCUGGAGGAAGAAAUGCAGGAGGGAACGUGAGGCAUUACCUGAUGCUGAAGAAGCCAGAGAAACCCCUGCUGUCUCCAGGCACAGCAUCUGCAAAAAAAACAUGUGUAAAAUAAAUUGCACAAAUGGCAGUGACUGUGCAGCAGUGUGUUUUAAAGCUUGUAGAGAAGACACUGAAGAUCAGCUUGUGGACAUUUGACUUGAUUCUGAGUGUCUUGACUGCAAGCGAUGUCUCACGUGUCCUCUUGAAAGAUGUUAAAAGAUGAAACAUUUUAUUUGUUUACAUGAUUAUGUGUAUUAGAAACACCUAAAGGUUAGGUCAGGAGAUGUAGUAGGUGUCUAGUGGCCAAACUGACUUACUACAGAUGAGAUUUUACCAACAUCUCCUUUUAUAUUUGUACAUUUCUGUUAUUUAUAAAAAAUCAGUAUGACCCACAAAAUGUUUUCACAUUUCCGAGGUUGUAGAUAGAAGUUAAACAGUUUGAUCAGUAUAAAUUAAUUAUUUUGUCUGCAGUACUAAAAAAAUGAGAUCCUUAAACUGAAUAAAACAAUUAACCCUAACA